rnacentral:rRNA from 1 species
GUUGAACGCUGGCGGCAUGCCUUACACAUGCAAGUCGAACGGCAGCACGGACUUCGGUCUGGUGGCGAGUGGCGAACGGGUGAGUAAUGUAUCGGAACGUGCCUAGUAGUGGGGGAUAACUAGUCGAAAGAUUAGCUAAUACCGCAUACGACCUACGGGUGAAAGUAGGGGAUCGCAAGACCUCAUGCUAUUAGAGCGGCCGAUAUCAGAUUAGCUAGUUGGUGGGGUAAAGGCCCACCAAGGCAACGAUCUGUAGCUGGUCUGAGAGGACGACCAGCCACACUGGGACUGAGACACGGCCCAGACUCCUACGGGAGGCAGCAGUGGGGAAUUUUGGACAAUGGGGGCAACCCUGAUCCAGCAAUGCCGCGUGUGUGAAGAAGGCCUUCGGGUUGUAAAGCACUUUUGUCAGAGAAGAAAACUGUUGCGCUAAUAUCGCGACGGGAUGACGGUAUCUGAAGAAUAAGGACCGGCUAACUACGUGCCAGCCGCCGCCGUAA